AGAGUUUGAUCAUGCUCAGGACGAACGCUGGCGGCGCGCUUAACACAUGCAAGUCGAACGGAGUUAUUUUCUUCACUCCGAGCUUUUUGCCAGUUAGCCGGAGCGGCAAUCGGUUUUGCCCAGCAUAAAAAGCAAAACCGAUUUAGGCUCAUAAAGUAAGACUAACACAGAGGGCAGAGAGUUGGGAGUGAAGAAAAUAACUUAGUGGCGAACGGGUGAGUAACGCGUGAGUAACCUGCCCUGGAGUGGGGGACAACAGUUGGAAACGACUGCUAAUACCGCAUAAGCCCACGGCCCGGCAUCGGGCUGAGGGAAAAGGAUUUAUUCGCUUCAGGAUGGACUCGCGUCCAAUUAGCUAGUUGGUGAGGUAACGGCCCACCAAGGCGACGAUUGGUAGCCGGACUGAGAGGUUGAACGGCCACAUUGGGACUGAGACACGGCCCAGACUCCUACGGGAGGCAGCAGUGGGGGAUAUUGCACAAUGGGGGAAACCCUGAUGCAGCGACGCCGCGUGGAGGAGGAAGGUUUUCGGAUUGUAAACUCCUGUCGUUAGGGACGAUAAUGACGGUACCUAACAAGAAAGCACCGGCUAACUACGUGCCAGCAGCCGCGGUAAAACGUAGGGUGCAAGCGUUGUCCGGAAUUACUGGGUGUAAAGGGAGCGCAGGCGGACCGGCAAGUUGGAAGUGAAAACUAUGGGCUCAACCCAUAAAUUGCUUUCAAAACUGCUGGCCUUGAGUAGUGCAGAGGUAGGUGGAAUUCCCGGUGUAGCGGUGGAAUGCGUAGAUAUCGGGAGGAACACCAGUGGCGAAGGCGACCUGCUGGGCACCAACUGACGCUGAGGCUCGAAAGCAUGGGUAGCAAACAGGAUUAGAUACCCUGGUAAUCCAUGCCGUAAACGAUGAUUACUAGGUGUUGGAGGAUUGACCCCUUCAGUGCCGCAGUUAACACA
rnacentral:rRNA from 1 species